rnacentral:rRNA from 1 species
UCAACGCGGGCGGCGUGCCUAACACAUGCAAGUCGAACGAGAAAGUGGGAGCAAUCCUGCGAGUAGAGUGGCAAACGGGUGAGUAACACGUGAACAACCUACCCUUGAGUGUGGAAUAACCUCGCGAAAGCGGGGCUAAUGCCGCAUAACAUCCCUGGGUUGCAUGAUCUGGGGAUCAAAGGCGCAAGUCGCUUGAGGAGGGGUUCGCGCCUGAUUAGCUAGUUGGUGAGGUAACGGCCCACCAAGGCAACGAUCAGUAGCCGGCCUGAGAGGGCGAACGGCCACACUGGAACUGAGACACGGUCCAGACUCCUACGGGAGGCAGCAGUGGGGAAUUUUGCGCAAUGGGCGAAAGCCUGACGCAGCAACGCCGCGUGGAGGAUGAAGGCCUUCGGGUCGUAAACUCCUGUCAGGGGGGACGAAGGUCGGGAAACCGGCUUGACUGUACCCCUUGAGGAAGCCACGGCUAACUCCGUGCCAGCAGCCGCGGUAAUACGGAGGUGGCAAGCGUUGUUCGGAAUUACUGGGCGUAAAGGGCGCGUAGGCGGCUUGGCAAGUCAGAUGUGAAAGCCCCGAGCUUAACUUGGGAAUUGCAUCUGAAACUGCUUUGCUUGAGUCCUGGAGGGGGUAGUGGAAUUCCCAGUGUAGCGGUGAAAUGCGUAGAUAUUGGGAGGAACACCGGCGGCGAAGGCGGCUACCUGGACAGUGACUGACGCUGAGGCGCGAAAGCUAGGGGAGCGAACGGGAUUAGAUACCCCGGUAGUCCUAGCCGUAAACGAUGGGUGCUAGGUGUGGGUGGUAUUGACCCCAUCCGUGCCGAAGCUAACGCGUUAAGCAUCCCGCCUGGGGACUACGGC